UACAGAGGUCUCGAGCGUUAGGCGGAAUCACUGGGCUUAAAGCGUGUGUAGGCGGAUCGUUAAGUGCCUUGUGAAAUCCCACGGCCCAACCGUGGAACUGCUUGGCAUACUGGCGGUCUUGAGCAACCUAGGGGCGAGCGGAACAAAUGGUGGAGCGGUGAAAUGCGUAGAUAUCAUUUGGAACGCCAAUGGUGAAAACAGCUCGCUGGGGGUUUGCUGACGCUGAGACACGAAAGCCAGGGGAGCAAACGGG
rnacentral:rRNA from 1 species